AGAUUAGCUUGCUUUAGUUGUCAGCUAAGUGGCGCACGGGUGAGUAAUGUAUAGAUAACCUGCCCUUAAGAAAGGAAUAACAGUUGGAAACGACUGCUAAUGCCCUAUAUGCCUUUAAUACAUAAGUAUGCAAGGGAAACGCUUUAGUGCUUAAGGAUGGGUCUGUAUGGUAUCAGCUUGUUGGUGAGGUAAUGGCUCACCAAGGCUAUGACGCCUAACUGGUUUGAGAGGAUGAUCAGUCACACUGGAACUGAGACACGGUCCAGACUCCUACGGGAGGCAGCAGUGGGGAAUAUUGCACAAUGGACGAAAGUCUGAUGCAGCAACGCCGCGUGGAGGAUGACACAUUUCGGUGCGUAAACUCCUUUUAUAUAGGAAGAUAAUGACGGUACUAUAUGAAUAAGCACCGGCUAACUCCGUGCCAGCAGCCGCGGUAAUACGGAGGGUGCAAGCGUUACUCGGAAUCACUGGGCGUAAAGAGCGUGUAGGCGGGUAUAUAAGUCAGAAGUGAAAUCCUAUAGCUUAACUAUAGAACUGCUUUUGAAACUGUAUACCUAGAAUGUGGGAGAGGUAGAUGGAAUUU
rnacentral:rRNA from 1 species